UACGGGGGGUGCAAGCGUUAUCCGGAUUCACUGGGUUUAAAGGGUGCGUAGGCGGACAGGUAAGUCAGUGGUGAAAUCUCCGAGCUUAACUCGGAAACUGCCGUUGAUACUAUCUGUCUUGAAUAUUAUGGAGGUAAGCAGAAUAUGUCAUGUAGCGGUGAAAUGCUUAGAUAUGACAUAGAAUACCGAUAGCGAAGGCAGCUUACUACAUGUUAAUUGACGCUGAGGCACGAAAGCGUGGGGAGCAAACAGG
rnacentral:rRNA from 1 species